UACGAAGGGGGCUAGCGUUGCUCGGAAUGACUGGGCGUAAAGGGCGCGUAGGCGGCUCAUACAGUCAGGCGUGAAAUUCCUGGGCUCAACCUGGGGACUGCGCUUGAGACGUGUGGGCUUGAGUGGGGAAGAGGGUCGUGGAAUUCCCAGUGUAGAGGUGAAAUUCGUAGAUAUUGGGAAGAACACCGGGGGCGAAGGCGGCGACCUGGUCCUGGACUGACGCUGAGGCGCGAAAGCGUGGGGAGCAAACAGG
rnacentral:rRNA from 1 species